rnacentral:rRNA from 1 species
GCAUAUCAAUAAGCGGAGGAAAAGAAACCAACAGGGAUUGCCCCAGUAACGGCGAAGUGAAGCGGCAACAGCUCAAAUUUGAAAUCUGGCCCUAGGCCCGAGUUGUAAUUUGUAGAGGAUGUUUCUGACGAGGUACCUUCCGAGUUCCCUGGAACGGGACGCCAUAGAGGGUGAGAGCCCCGUACGGUUGGUCGCCAAGUCUCUGUGAAACUCCUUCGACGAGUCGAGUAGUUUGGGAAUGCUGCUCUAAAUGGGAGGUAUACGUCUUCUAAAGCUAAAUAUAGGCCAGAGACCGAUAGCGCACAAGUAGAGUGAUCGAAAGAUGAAAAGCACUUUGAAAAGAGGGUUAAAUAGUACGUGAAAUUGUUGAAAGGGAAGCGCAUAUGACCAGACUUGGCCAGGUUAAUCAUCCAUCGUUCUCGGUGGUGCACUUUGCCUGGCCAGGCCAGCAUCAGUUCGCUUUGGGGGAUAAAGACUUUGGGAAUGUGGCUCCCUCGGGAGUGUUAUAGCCCAUUGUGUAAUACCCUGGAGUGGACUGAGGUUCGCGCAUCUGCAAGGAUGCUGGCGUAAUGGUCAUCUGCGACCCGUCUUGAAACACGGACCAAGGAGUCGUCUUCGUAUGCGAGUGUUCGGGUGUCAAACCCCUACGCGUAAUGAAAGUGAACGUAGGAGAGAGCUUCGGCGCAUCUCCGACCGAUCCUGAUGUUCUCGGAUGGAUUUGAGUAAGAGCAUACGGGGCCGGACCCGAAAGAAGGUGAACUAUGCCUGUAUAGGGUGAAGCCAGAGGAAACUCUGGUGGAGGCUCGCAGCGGUUCUGACGUGCAAAUCGAUCGUCAAAUAUGGGCAUGGGGGGCGAAAGACUAAUCGAACCUUCUAGUAGCUGGUUUCCGCCGA